rnacentral:rRNA from 1 species
AGCAGCCGCGGUAAUUCCAGCUCCAAUAGCGUAUAUUAAAGUUGUUGCAGUUAAAAAGCUCGUAGUUGAAUUUCGGGAUCAGCGCGUCGGUCGUGCCUCCGGUAUGCACUGGCGCCGCUGGUUUCUCCCUUCUGAGGAACCGUGAUGUCAUUAAUUUGGUGUUGCGGGAAAUCAGGACUGUUACUUUGAAAAAUUAGAGUGUUUAAAGCGGGCACGCGCUUGAAUACAUUAGCAUGGAAUAACGAAAUAGGACGUUCGAUCUUAUUUUGUUGGUUUCUAGGAUUGACGUAAUGAUUAAUAGGGAUAGUUGGGGGCAUUAGUAUUCAAUUGUCAGAGGUGAAAUUCUUGGAUUUAUUGAAGACUAACUACUGCGAAAGCAUUUGCCAAGGAUGUUUUCAUUAAUCAAGAACGAAAGUUAGGGGAUCGAAGACGAUCAGAUACCGUCGUAGUCUUAACCAUAAACUAUGCCGACUAGGGAUCGGAUGAUGUUAAUUUUUAAUGACUCAUUCGGCGCCUUAAC